rnacentral:rRNA from 1 species
AAUGAACGUUGGCGGCGUGGAUUAGGCAUGCAAGUUGCGCGACAAGGUUCCUUCGGGGACUGGAGGAGCGGCAAACGGGGUAGUAAGGCAUCGGAACGUACCCUCUCGUCUGGGAUAGCCACGGGAAACUGUGAGUAAUACCGGAUGAUAUCGAGAGAUCAAAGGUCCGCCGCGGAGGGGAGCGGCCGAUGUGAUACCAGCUAGUUGGUGAGGUAAUGGCUCACCAAGGCUUAGACGUCUAGGGGGUGUGAGAGCAUGGCCCCCACCACUGGGACUGAGAUACUGCCCAGACACCUACGGGUGGCUGCAGUCGAGAAUCUUCGGCAAUGGGCGCAAGCCUGACCGAGCAACGCCGCGUGCGGGAUGAAGGCCCUUGGGUUGUAAACCGCUGUCAGAGGGGAUGAAAUCUUCGGAGGUACUCCUCCGAAGUUGACAGAGCCUCAAAGGAAGCACGGGCUAAGUACGUG